rnacentral:rRNA from 1 species
GCGAACGCUGGCGGCAGGCCUAACCCAUGCCAGUCGAACGAACUCUUCGGAGUUAGUGGCGGACGGGUGAGUAACACGUGGGAACGUGCCUUUUGGUUCGGAAUAACUCAGGGAAACUUGUGCUAAUACCGAAUGUGCCCUUCGGGGGAAAGAUUUAUCGCCAUUAGAGCGGCCCGCGUCUGAUUAGCUAGUUGGUGAGGUAACGGCUCACCAAGGCGACGAUCAGUAGCUGGUCUGAGAGGAUGACCAGCCACACUGGGACUGAGACACGGCCCAGACUCCUACGGGAGGCAGCAGUGGGGAAUCUUGCGCAAUGGGCGAAAGCCUGACGCAGCCAUGCCGCGUGAAUGAUGAAGGUCUUAGGAUUGUAAAAUUCUUUCACCGGGGACGAUAAUGACGGUACCCGGAGAAGAAGCCCCGGCUAACUUCGUG